UACGUAGGGUGCAAGCGUUAAUCGGAAUUACUGGGCGUAAAGCGUGCGUAGGUGGUUUGUUAAGUCUGUUGUGAAAAGCCCCGGGCUCAACCUGGGAAUGGCAAUGGAUACUGGCAAGCUAGAGUGCGGUAGAGGGUAGUGGAAUUCCCGGUGUAAGCGGUGAAAUGCGUAGAGAUCGGGAGGAACACCAGUGGCGAAGGCGGCUACCCUGGACCAGCACUGACACUGAGGCACGAAAGCGUGGGGAGCAAACAGG
rnacentral:rRNA from 1 species